rnacentral:rRNA from 1 species
GAACGCUGGCGGCGUGCUUAACACAUGCAAGUCGAACGAUGAAGCCCAGCUUGCUGGGUGGAUUAGUGGCGAACGGGUGAGUAACACGUGAGUAACCUGCCCUUGACUCUAGGAUAAGCCCGGGAAACUGGGUCUAAUACUGGAUAGGAACGUCUACCGCAUGGGUGGGUGUUGGAAAGAAUUUCGGUCAUGGAUGGACUCGCGGCCUAUCAGCUUGUUGGUGAGGUAAUGGCUCACCAAGGCGACGACCGGUAGCCGGCCUGAGAGGGUGACCGGCCACACUGGGACUGAGACACGGCCCAGACUCCUACGGGAGGCAGCAGUGGGGAAUAUUGCACAAUGGGCGAAAGCCUGAUGCAGCGACGCCGCGUGAGGGGAUGACGCCUUCGGGUUGUAAACCUCUUUCAGUAAGGAAGAAGCAAAAGUGACGGUACCUGCAGAAGAAAGCACCGCUAACUACGUGCCAGCAGCCGCGGUAAUACGUAGGGUGCGAGCGUUNUCCGGAAUUAUUGGGCGUAAAGCGCUCGUAGGCGGUUUGUGGUGCAUGGUUGUCGUCAGCUCGUGUCGUGAGAUGUUGGGUUAAGUCCCGCAACGAGCGCAACCCUCGUUCCAUGUUGCCAGCACGUAAUGGUGGGGACUCAUGGGAGACUGCAGGGGUCAACUCGGAGGAAGGUGGGGAAGAGGUCAAAUCAUCAUGCCCCUUAUGUCUUGGGCUUCACGCAUGCUACAAUGGCCGGUACAAUGGGUUGCGAAACUGUGAGGUGGAGCUAAUCCCAAAAAGCCGGUCUCAGUUCGGAUUGGGGUCUGCAACUCGACCCCAUGAAGUCGGAGUCGCUAGUAAUCGCAGAUCAGCAACGCUGCGGUGAAUACGUUCCCGGGCCUUGUACACACCGCCCGUCAAGUCACGAAAGUCGGUAACACCCGAAGCCGGUGGCCUAACCCUUGUGGAGGGAGCCGUCGAAGGUGGGACCAGC